UGGGGAAUAAGCAGCACCUGGCCCCCUCACAUGUGCUAGGCCAGGGAACUUGAUACCUGGAAGUGUCCUGUGCUGACACACACCUUGUUUUCCCCCAUGCAGAUGGGACCCACACCUCUGUAGGCUUGGUCCUCCUGGUGGUGACCUGUCUGGUGUUCCUCUUUAUGCUCAUUCUAGGUUUAAUCUUCUGGAUUAGGAAACGCAGCUCCUAUGAAGACUUCCUGUGAGUCUCCUGGCCACCUGCCUCUCUGGAGGCUGAGCAUCAAGCUCCCAGGACUGUAGUCUUCCCCUGCUCAGGAACUGAGUGUGAAGUGAGUGUGGUCUUGGAGAAGUAACAAAAAUAAUCACCUCCUCUUUUAACAUUUAUCUAAAAGAGUUUAAGUUCUUUUUCCUUCUGUUACAAGUGAUUCUGUACAAACAGCAGUGCAAACUCCCGUGUUUACCUGCAGGCAAUGCGGAGAUACAGGGACUAGGGUGGAAGUGCAUGUGUUGGCCUCUGAGUGAUGGAAUCUGUCUUGAGCUGGGAAGCUCAUAUCCUGUGCCAAGGUGGCAGCUGCGGUGGCCUGUUGUCAAGUACAAAGUCAAACUCUAGCUUGGCUGUAAUCUGCAUUUCCCAAGAAGACUGGAAAUCUGGAAUUUUAUGUGACAUGUCUGAUUUUAAAACGUCAGCAUGAUUUUGCAGAAUAUUCUGUGUGACAUCCCAAAUGAACACUGCUGACUAA